GACCUCAUGGGACAACGGAAGUGCAUCUGACUCCAGAUCAGAAUGUUGUGUGUUCAAAUCACGUUGGGGUCA